UUUGGGAGGCUAAGGCAGGAGGAUCACUUAAGGUCAGGGAUUUGAGACCAGCCUGGGAAACAAAGUGAGACCUCCAUCUCUACAAA
rnacentral:miRNA from 1 species